UAUAAAUACUGAAAUCCGAAUCGUGACAAUCCACGGCAACCCAUCGAAUUACAUUCAUUCGUUUUCUCUUUUCUUCGUCAGUUUCCCGCCAAAGUUGAGUUAGGGACUUCGACAGGGGAACUAUUAUCCCAAGUGAUUCUAUGCAACCGGAAUUCCUUUGUUUGUCUGCGAUCUUCUCUUGCUGCGAUCGAAAUCGAUCGGGGAAAUCUACCGUCGUAUCAAUCGCGCCAAAUUUGGUUCCUCGAAUUUCUUUCUUGUGCUACAGCUUUCCGAUGCCAAAAAACCUAAUUCCUUGAGAUUUGGCAUUUCGAUUACCUGCUUCUUUUUUUUUUUUUUUUUUUUUCCCUAAUGCCUCUAUUGCUGCCAGGAGUUUAGAGUUUCGGUCCUUUGUUUUAUCAUGGAGCACUCUGCAGCGGAGGAUCUCGAAGGUCCCGAGUCAGGGAGGUCGCUGAGAUGGAUGAGGCCUUGAAACGAUGGACACUGGCCUCCGCUUCUACCAAUCAAAAUUCUAAUGCCUUGGAGCAUUCCGUUGGCGGUGCUGCUCGCUCAGAUCGUUCGGUUCCUGCUGAAGUAUCCGAGGAUUCUAUCACUCAGGUUGGUCGGUUCCUUCUCGAGGACUUUCAGAAUCCUUGAGUCGCCCAUGCUUGACGCGAUUGGCGCGGCAAAUAUUAAAAGGUAUGGUGGUUUAGAGAGUUAUUUGGCCUUAUAGUGCAAGCGUUGGUGCAACACUCCAACCACGCAUAUUUGUGAAUUCCUCUCCUUUUAUUCAUCGUCAUGAGCAAGUUCAUCAGCCCCUUUCUCAGGUAAUAAACCCUUCCUUCUGCAUAACUUAUUUUGCCAUCUCCCUUUAUUUCCGUUAUGGAUUAUAAGAUUGAUUGAGAAUCACAACCGAUAAGAGCUCUCCUUUCCUUUUGCCUCCUAUGAUGUUGAGAUGUUAUUUUCUCUCGCUCAACAUAUAUUAUCUCCUCCGUAAAAGAAUACAAAACCAUAUAAUAUUAGGUAACCAAUUCGUUUAUUAUUUUCAUGUUGAUCUCAGCUCGAGUAAUAUAGUAUUGUAUCAAGCACGGUUAUAACACAGUCGUUUGGCAUGUAAUUUUAAGGUCCAGUGUUUAAUAAUGAAUCAACGAAGGUGGUAAGGGAAGUCAUUUGCUUGACUUCGCUGCUAAUGGCUUCCUCUCGCAGGCACCAAUUUUUUUU